rnacentral:lncRNA from 1 species
AAUAUCUUUCAAGUAAAGUCAAACGAAUCGUGUCCUUAUCUUAAAUGCUUCGUUGAAAAAGAUGACGUUGAGGAGUUACUUUGGGAGGAGGAUUCGGUACAUCGAACAUAGUGGGAAUUGCAUUAGAUAUCAUCGUUAAGAGGAUAUCUAAAGAAAUACAAACGAUUGGUUCUCCUAUUUUUGACACAAUUCAUCGCAGCACAAUAAGUUCCCCGGCCAUUUAAAUUUUACAUUUUGGACACUGAAAAGUAAAUGAGAAAAUUCUUCUUUGUUGAAGUUGAAAAAUGCUUUAUCAAGCUAUUAAAAUGGCAAAGCAAUAUUUAAGUGUAUUUUUGGGGGAUUAAAGUUUAUUGUAACCAACUUAGCUAAUUAAUGUUCGUUCAAAUAUUUAAUUUAAAAAAAAAAAUUAAUUUACUUAUCUGUCUUGUUGAUUCACACCGAACAUUUGGGUGCGCUACCUGUACAUGCUCUGUGAUACUACCCAAACUUUUGCGCAACUUGUUGCUUCUAUUUAUUUAUUUCUCUACGGAUGUAACUCAUAGUUAGAUAUGUGAUUUUUGUAAGAACGCGAGGAGAAGAUAGACAUAUGGGGAAAAAAUGAAUUACUGCAAUAAAGAAGAGAACCGUCAAUAUUAAAAAUAGCAUUAGUACAGGCAAAACAUCUAUAUAUUAAAUGCAAACAGACAACAAACUGACAAAAUUUACUUUAAUAAUAUAGAAGAUAACUCUCCAAGAAAUCAUCAGUGUUAUUCUCCAUUUUUCAUGAGCAGACUCACACGUAUUCACUCAAUACUUAGAUUUUCACUCCUAGAAAAUGAAAGAAUAAUAAUAAUAAUUGAUUUAGAACUUUUUUCACAUAAUGAGCCAGUCUUCAGUCUAGAAACUAUAGUACUUCAUGGCUGAGCUUUAGCCACAUAUACUUGCUGCUAAAUCUCAUCCAAAGAUUCAAGACACAUUCAUUAUUUUAUCAUUUAAAUAAUGUACAAUCCCUUUAUUUUAUUUUAUCAUUUAAAUAAUGUACAAUCCCUUUA